UACGGAGGGUGCAAGCGUUAUCCGGAUUCACUGGGUUUAAAGGGUGCGUAGGCGGGCAGGUAAGUCAGUGGUGAAAUCUCCGAGCUUAACUUGGAAACUGCCGUUGAUACUAUCUGUCUUGAAUAUUGUGGAGGUGAGCGGAAUAUGUCAUGUAGCGGUGAAAUGCUUAGAUAUGACAUAGAACACCAAUUGCGAAGGCAGCUCGCUACACAAAUAUUGACUCUGAGGCACGAAAGCGUGGGGAUCAAACAGG
rnacentral:rRNA from 1 species